rnacentral:sRNA from 1 species
AUUCGCGAACUUGAUUCCAAUCAUUGC